rnacentral:sRNA from 2 species
CUGUUCUGCCCUCCUUGGGCGUUUCCUCCCUAGACUUGGACCGCGCUUCAUGCGCGGUCUUUUUUAUUGGCCGCG